GACCGCUGCGUCGCCGCUUUCGGGUGGGGACGGGGAGGAAAGUCCGAACUCCAGAGGGCAGUGCGCCGGGUAAUCCCCGGUCAGGGCGACCUGAAGGAAAGUGGCACAGAAAACAUACCGCCCGCUUACGUGAGUAGGUAGGUAAGGGUGAAAAGGUGCGGUAAGAGCGCACCGCGUUCGCCGCAAGGUGAAUGGCAGGCUAAACCCCGCACGGAGCAAGACCAAAUAGGGAGGCGCUAUAGGGCGGCCCGUCCGAAGCCUCCGGGUAGGUCGCUGGACCCCGCCAGUGAUGGCGGGGCUAGAGGAAUGGUCGUCGCCCGGUCGGGCCCCUCGGGACUCGUCCGGGAACAGAAUUCGGCUUAUCGUCCCUCU
rnacentral:RNase_P_RNA from 1 species